GGCCUCUUAGCUCAGUUGGCUAGAGCGUUGGAUCUACUGAAGCCCUCCCUUUGCUCGCGUGCGUUCGAAUCCCACCGAGGCCG
rfam:Schistocephalus solidus strain NST_G2 genome assembly, scaffold: SSLN_scaffold0000720